UAACGCGUUAAAUCGACGCUGGGGAGUACGGCCGCAAGGUUAAAACUCAAAUGAAUUGACGGGGGCCCGCACAGCGGUGGAGCAUGUGGUUUAAUUCGAUGCAACGCGAAGAACCUUACCUGGUCUUGACAUCCAUAGAAUCUUUCAGAGAUGAGAGAGUGCCUUCGGGAGCUAUGAGACAGGUGCUGCAUGGCUGUCGUCAGCUCGUGUUGUGAAAUGUUGGGUUAAGUCCCGCAACGAGCGCAACCCCUAUCCUUUGUUGCCAGCACGUAAUGGUGGGAACUCAAAGGAGACUGCCGUUGAUAAAGCGGAGGAAGGUGGGGACGACGUCAAGUCAUCAUGGCCCUUACGACCAGGGCUACACACGUGCUACAAUGGCGUAUACAAAGGGAUGCGAAGGUGCGAACUGGAGCGGACCUCACAAAGUACGUCUAAGUCCGGAUUGGAGUCUGCAACUCGACUCCAUGAAGUCGGAAUCGCUAGUAAUCGUGAAUCAGAAUGUCACGGUGAAUACGUUCCCGGGCCUUGUACACACCGCCCGUCACACCAUGGGAGUGGGUUGCACCAGAAGUAGAUAGCUUAACCUUCGGGAGGGCGUUUACCACGGUGUGGUUCAUGACUGGGGUGAAGUCGUAACAAGGUAACCA
rnacentral:rRNA from 1 species